CCCAUACCCUCAAUGUAUAUAUAAUAGCGCACCAGUAGUAUCCCUGCAUCAACAGAAGACAAUACACAGUGCAUCAUCCAGUGGCCACCGCAGGGAAACUGAGCGGCCACAUUGUGCUUCCCCUACAGAUCACCAGAGAUUAGAGAAGCUGCACCCACAUCGAUCAGUAGAUUGUGGAUGUGACUUCAAUCUGAAAUGAAGUUGUCAUACUUUGAAAAUAUCCAACUGAUUUACUCAAAUGUGCCAUCAUGGAAAAAAGUUAGACCUCUCAGUUAAACAUGACACGAACAAUCACAUUGCUGCUGAUAUCUCUAAGUGUGCUCCUUGCUCUGGUAACAGCAAAAUCAAUACCUGACUGUACAGAUGGCAAAGUAUAUACUGAUUGUGGGAGCAACUGUCCACCAACCUGCGAUAAACCGAAUCCUAUAUGCAAUUAUAUGUGUGUUCCAGGUUGUUUCUGCCCAAAGGGCACUGUACAAAAUAUCAGGGGUAAAUGUGUGCAAAAGGAUAAGUGCAGACUCUGAAGCGGGAACACAACAUAUUCCAUUUGUGCCAAUAACUGCCCCGGUGUUGUAUCUCCCCCAAAUUGCCUUAGAAUAGAAUGUAUGCACGGCUGUGCAUGUAAACCCAACUACGCGCUCCUACCUAACAGCAAGAGAUGUGUCCUUCCACAGGAUCUCUCCAACGUUGGCUCCAACAAGUAAACCAUCCCAUGUGUGUCUUAUUAGCAAUCAUCAAAAUUGAAAGUUUUAGAUGUGUCUGAUGAAAAUAAAAUGAUUGCUGACAUUGU